rnacentral:rRNA from 1 species
GACGAACGCUGGCGGCGUGCUUAACACAUGCAAGUCGAGCGGUAAGGCCCUUUCGGGGGUACACGAGCGGCGAACGGGUGAGUAACACGUGGGUGACCUGCCCUCAGCUCUGGGAUAAGCCUGGGAAACCGGGUCUAAUACUGGAUAUGACUCCAUGACGCAUGUUGUGGGGUGGAAAGCCUUGUGCGGCUGAGGAUGGGCCCGCGGCCUAUCAGCUUGUUGGUGGGGUGAANGGCCUACCAAGGCGACGACGGGUAGCCGGCCUGAGAGGGCGACCGGCCACACUGGGACUGAGACACGGCCCAGACUCCUACGGGAGGCAGCAGUGGGGAAUCUUGCGCAAUGGGCGAAANCCUGACGCAGCGACGCCGCGUGAGGGAUGACGGCC